rnacentral:lncRNA from 9 species
CCUGGGGGUAGUCUGCCUUGGGAAAGUCCCAUAGUGUCCUGCCUUGUUCAACUUAAAGUAGCCUCCUCUCCCACCUUGCAUCCCUUGAAAUACUUGAAGAGAGCCACUAGGUUCCACUCUAUGUCUGUUCAUUUUCAUGUGACACACCCUCUGGCCCUCAGUGAAUCAUUUGCAUAAAGUGGUUUCUAGACUCUUCAUCACGAAACCUGGUUCCUGAAUCGAUGCUAGUUGGCUGACAGUUGCUACUGGGAACCCUAUAUACAUAGGAUACAAUGCUUCCUGCAACUGAAAGCACCUUCCUGCACAUAAGAACCUUCUAUUCCUUCAUUCAUGGGUAAGAAUCCCCUCUGCAAACAUGGUGACCAGGAGCUGGGAAACAGAUCCCCGGGUCCCGGAGACAGCGGCUACACCGCACAGGGCAGACGACCCGACUCCAACUGAACAGGUACGGCUGAAAGAGACCUCACGUGCCCUGGGUGGCACUGCACUGACCGACAGCUCUCAUCCCACAUUUGCCUGAACCCAGAGAAUGACAACGCCAAGAGCGAGCCCUGCUGCAGACCGUGGACUCUGGUCGUCUGGGUAGGUUCUGAGUGUGUGUGGGGGGGGGGGGGGGCGCGUUGGUAAUGGGGAGACUGUGCGAGCGGGGACAUGGGUGGACUUUAUUGGGAACCCCUGGACUUUCCUGUCCAUGUUGCUGUGAACCUUCAACUGCACCAAAAACUAAAAUCUAUUAAAAAAUACGUUAUAACCGCCACUUAGGAUAAUGCAGAUUUUCUUGCUCUUUCCAGAACCUCCAGAGACAGCUGUAAGAAAAUGAAUUGACUUUUGCUCAAAACACAGAAAUCCUCAGAACCAAAAAUAAUCCCAGGAAGGAAAUAAAAUACAAGACACGCAGAACUCCGCAACGAUGGAGUAAUAACAGUAAAGACGACAGCGACACUCGGAGUCUGGAAGGCCUAACCUUGACCUGUGGGUAAUGUCGUCUGGGCAGCUUAACAUGCCCUCAAGCUACUGCUGAGAUCAUUUCAAACUGGCAGUCUGAAGCAUCGGGACUGAAUUCUCUUGGUUAAAAACAUUCCAUUUUUCUUACUCAAAAAGAGAAACAUCAAAUUCAUGUCAGGAAUACUGUGGCUGGGCCAAAACAGAACUUGGGGAAAAAUUAAAAGUCCUUUAAAAUACUAUGCUUCCAUGUCAGCUUAGUACAAUAUUUUGAACUUUGUAUUUCUAAUUCUGGAUGACUUAACUCGGCCUUAGGCAUUUCUGUUAUUUGAUUCCUAGUACUGCCUAGAUCCAAUACUCUGAUUUCUGAUCUUAUACACCUUUUCAAACUGCUUUCUUUCACAAUAUUUUACCUAUAUUUCAAGACCUCAUUAAAAUUUUACUUCUUCCGAGACUUUCCCGACCCCACCACUGUUUCCGUCAUUUCCACUGCAUUCGUCAGGCGCAGGAACAGGCGAAUUCUAACAGAUAUACUGGAGGUAAGAUAUAUCUGGUCCUCCCUCUGGAUAGGUGGGCUACUCUAAGGUAAAGCUGUUCUUCUGCAGAAUAGGCCUCUUUUCUGGGGCUGAUCUAAGGUAAGAAUGACAAUCAUGCCCUGUCCUCACAAUGCCUAGCACUUGCUAGACGUGAGACUUGCCGGACAGCUGUUUGGUCUCCAGAAGUGCAUCCUAAAUGUGCGACUGAGUGCAGGCUCCUCAGCUUCCUUGUGCUCUAGGCCUCCAAGCAGCUCCCCACCUACAUCGCUGUCCCCGACAGUCAGGCUGCAGCAGACUCUACUUCUGCACAUUCCCGCAAACUGCAGGCUUGUCCGAUUCCAGGUACAACACAGCCCUUCACAUAUACUGACUGGCCCUGCUACACAUUGUUACUGGCCCCGUGAGAGGCCGAGAAAUGGAGGCAGGAAGAGGACGCCAGUUUCUGAGGCCCCU